rnacentral:rRNA from 1 species
GAGAAGCUUGCUUCUCUUGAGAGCGGCGGACGGGUGAGUAAUGCCUAGGAAUCUGCCUGGUAGUGGGGGAUAACGUUCGGAAACGGACGCUAAUACCGCAUACGUCCUACGGGAGAAAGCAGGGGACCUUCGGGCCUUGCGCUAUCAGAUGAGCCUAGGUCGGAUUAGCUAGUUGGUGAGGUAAUGGCUCACCAAGGCGACGAUCCGUAACUGGUCUGAGAGGAUGAUCAGUCACACUGGAACUGAGACACGGUCCAGACUCCUACGGGAGGCAGCAGUGGGGAAUAUUGGACAAUGGGCGAAAGCCUGAUCCAGCCAUGCCGCGUGUGUGAAGAAGGUCUUCGGAUUGUAAAGCACUUUAAGUUGGGAGGAAGGGCAGUUACCUAAUACGUGAUUGUUUUGACGUUACCGACAGAAUAAGCACCGGCUAACUCUGUGCCAGCAGCCGCGGUAAUACAGAGGGUGCAAGCGUUAAUCGGAAUUACUGGGCGUAAAGCGCGCGUAGGUGGUUUGUUAAGUUGGAUGUGAAAUCCCCGGGCUCAACCUGGGAACUGCAUUCAAAACUGACUGACUAGAGUAUGGUAGAGGGGUG